AAGCUCGUAGUUGGAUUUCUGUUAAUAAUUUAUAUAGAAUAUUUUGAAAAAUAUUUAUAUAAUAUUAACAUAAUUCAUAUUACUGAUUAAUUUGAGUAUAUGAAAUUUUACUUUGAGAAAAUUAGAGUGCUUAAAGCAGGCAUAUGCCUUGAAUACUCCAGCAUGGAAUAAUAUUAAAGAUUUUUAUCUUUCUUAUUGGUUCUAAGAUAAGAAUAAUGAUUAAUAGGGACAGUUGGGGGCAUUUGUAUUUAACAGUCAGAGGUGAAAUUCUUAGAUUUGUUAAAGACAAACUAAUGCGAAAGCAUUUGCCAAGGAUGUUUUCAUUAAUCAAGAACGAAAGUUAGGGGA
rnacentral:rRNA from 1 species